rnacentral:rRNA from 1 species
AAUAGAUACCCGGGUAGUCCACGCCGUAAACGAUGAGUGCUAAGUGUUAGAGGGUUUCCGCCCUUUAGUGCUGCAGCUAACGCAUUAAGCACUCCGCCUGGGGAGUACGGUCGCAAGACUGAAACUCAAAGGAAUUGACGGGGGCCCGCACAAGCGGUGGAGCAUGUGGUUUAAUUCGAAGCAACGCGAAGAACCUUACCAGGUCUUGACAUCCUCUGACAACUCUAGAGAUAGAGCGUUCCCCUUCGGGGGACAGAGUGACAGGUGGUGCAUGGUUGUCGUCAGCUCGUGUCGUGAGAUGUUGGGUUAAGUCCCGCAACGAGCGCAACCCUUGAUCUUAGUUGCCAGCAUUUAGUUGGGCACUCUAAGGUGACUGCCGGUGACAAACCGGAGGAAGGUGGGGAUGACGUCAAAUCAUCAUGCCCCUUAUGACCUGGGCUACACACGUGCUACAAUGGAUGGUACAAAGGGCUGCAAGCCGCGAGGUCAAGCCAAUCCCAUAAAACCAUUCUCAGUUCGGA